UUGUUUUAGUAGCAUAUAGACUAAAAUUAGAAUAAUACAAAUAUUAGCAAAACACCUGUGCAAGGAUGAUGCUAAAAUUCACAGUGCAUUCCAUAUUUUU
rnacentral:snRNA from 1 species